rnacentral:rRNA from 1 species
GAGCGCAGCGGGAAGAGCUCAAAUUUAUAAUCUGGCACCUUCGGUGUCCGAGUUGUAAUCUCUAGAAGUGUUUUCCGCGUUGGAUAGCACACAAGUCUGUUGGAAUACAGCGGCACAGUGGUGAUACCCCCGUACACGGUGCGGACGCCCAGCGCUUUGUGAUACACUUUCAAUGAGUCGAGUUGUUUGGGAAUGCAGCUCAAAUUGGGUGGUAAAUUCCAUCUAAAGCUAAAUAUUGGCGAGAGACCGAUAGCGAACAAGUACCGUGAGGGAAAGAUGAAAAGCACUUUGGAAAGAGAGUUAACAGUACGUGAAAUUGUUGGAAGGGAAACGCUUGAAGUCAGACUUGCUUGCCGGAGCUUGCUUCGGUUUGCAGGCCAGCAUCAGUUUUCCGGGGUGGAUAAUGGUGGUUUGAAGGUAGCAGCCUCGGCUGUGUUAUAGCUUUCCACUGGAUACAUCCUGGGGGACUGAGGAACGCAGCGUGCUUUUUGCGAAGGUUUCGACCUUUUCACGCUUAGGAUGCUGGUGUAAUGACUUUAAACGACCCGUCUUG